rnacentral:rRNA from 1 species
UCCGGUUGAUCCUGCCGGAGGUUACUGCUAUCGAGGUUCGACUAAGCCAUGCGAGUCGAAUGUAGCAAUACAUGGCGUACUGCUCAGUAACACGUGGAUAACCUACCCUUGAGACGGGGAUAAACCCGGGAAACUGGGUAUAAUACCCGAUAGAUCUCGACUGCUGGAAUGCAUCGAGCUUGAAAGCUCCGGCGCUCAAGGAUGGGUCUGCGGCCUAUCAGGUAGUAGUGGGUGUAGCGUACCUACUAGCCUACGACGGGUACGGGUUGUGAGAGCAAGAGCCCGGAGAUGGAUUCUGAGACACGAAUCCAGGCCCUACGGGGUGCAGCAGGCGCGAAAACUUUACAAUGCUGGAAACAGCGAUAAGGGGACCUCGAGUGCCAGGUUACAAAUCUGGCUGUCGUGAUGCCUAAAAAGCAUUGCAUAGCAAGGGCCGGGCAAGACCGGUGCCAGCCGCCGCGGUAACACCGGCGGCUCGAGUGGUAACCGUUAUUAUUGGGUCUAAAGGGUCUGUAGCCGGCCGGAUAAGUCUCUUGGGAAAUCUGGCAGCUUAACUGUCAGGCUUUCAGGAGAUACUGUCUGGCUCGAGGCCGGGAGAGGUGAGAGGUACUUCAGGGGUAGGGGUGAAAUCUUGUAAUCCUUGAAGGACCACCAGUGGCGAAGGCGUCUCACCAGAACGGACCUGACGGCAAGGGACGAAAGCUAGGGGCACGAACCGGAUUAGAUACCCGGGUAGUCCUAGCCGUAAACGAUACUCGCUAGGUGUCGGCAACGGUGCGACCGUUGUCGGUGCCGUAGGGAAGCCGUGAAGCGAGCCACCUGGGAAGUACGGCCGCAAGGCUGAAACUUAAAGGAAUUGGCGGGGGAGCACCACAACGGGUGGAGCUUGCGGUUUAAUUGGAUUCAACGCCGGAA